rnacentral:rRNA from 1 species
UAGGGAAUCUUCGGCAAUGGGGGCAACCCUGACCGAGCAACGCCGCGUGAGUGAAGAAGGUUUUCGGAUCGUAAAGCUCUGUUGUAAGUCAAGAACGAGUGUGAGAGUGGAAAGUUCACACUGUGACGGUAGCUUACCAGAAAGGGACGGCUAACUACGUGCCAGCAGCCGCGGUAAUACGUAGGUCCCGAGCGUUGUCCGGAUUUAUUGGGCGUAAAGCGAGCGCAGGCGGUUUGAUAAGUCUGAAGUUAAAGGCUGUGGCUCAACCAUAGUCCGCUUUGGAAACUGUCAAACUUGAGUGCAGAAGGGGAGAGUGGAAUUCCAUGUGUAGCGGUGAAAUGCGUAGAUAUAUGGAGGAACACCGGUGGCGAAAGCGGCUCUCUGGUCUGUAACUGACGCUGAGGCUCGAAAGCGUGGGGAGCGAACAGGAUUAGAUACCCUGGUAGUCCACGCCGUAACGAUGAGUGCUAGGUGUUGGAUCCUUUCCGGGAUUCAGUGCCGCAGCUAACGCAUUAAGCACUCCGCCUGGGGAGUACGACCGCAAGGUU